GCUCAGUCGGUUAAGUGUCUGACUCUUGAUUUCAGUUCAGGUCAUGAUCUCACAGUUUGUGGGUUCAAGCCCCACACUGGGCU
rnacentral:tRNA from 1 species